AUUGGAAAGGUUGGCUGUGUAUGACUAUAUUUCAGAAAAUUCUGUGGAUGAGCACAAUCUACAUUGAUGUGAAUAAAGAUCUAGAUCUGACCCUCACCUUAAAAAAAGUAUUCUAUGUGCUUGGAUCAGUUGUUGUCGUAUUAGUGAACUCUGUUACACUGAUGACUGAACUGAUACUGAAAAUAGAUAAUGGUGAGCGUGCAGUGGGAGAUCUGAGAGUAGUCGUCUUCUCCUCUGAAAGUAUCUUCACCUUUUUUCUGCUGAUUUCGAUCAUGUUUGGACCAUGGUUUUCUAACAUGAAGUGUUUGCAGUGUUGUCAGAAUGCUAAUAAAACUCUAGCCAAUGAAUCAAUGCAGAAAACAGAAGAAUCACUUAAUAUGAAUCCUCUUCUAAAGAAUCAAGAUCAGGAUGCCGUUAAGAGUGACGUUGCAGAGGAAACUCAGCCAGAUUCAGUGGAAUCACAAACUUAAAUCAACAAUGAGAGAAAAAGACCCGGCCAGACUUGUACUAACACCUACAGAAAUACUCAUUUAUAUUUUCUGGAUCCAUGUACUGUGGCAGUGCCGUGCAGAGGGGGCGGGAGAGGGGGGUUUGAGCCCCUGCCCUUUAAAUUGCCCCUUUCAGCCAUAUCGUGGUGCCACCCCCCAAAUGCCAUCCCUGCCGAGGGGGACACUCCCCACCCCCUGGAACGUGAUUUCACCCCCAGCCCCGUGGAGGUCUGUGCACGCCAUUGUGCUGUGGUCUGAUGAAGUGAAAACUAAAGUCUUUCUACAAUUUUCAAAGGCAUAUUUGAAGAAAAUGGACAAACAUUUAAAGAAAAGAACACCUCGCCAACUGCUACACAUGAGGUGGAUUUGUCAUGCUUUGGGUUUGUGACUGUCAGUCUUUCUGUCUGUCUGUCAUUCAACUUUAUGAAGAUUUACGGUGAACUUUAAGUUCUGUACCAAACAGUACCUCACUGUAACAAACAAUUUGUAAACUUAAAGAGGUGGUUAAUUAUGAUUUCACUUUUUUAACUUUAGUUAGUGUGUAAUGUUGCUGUUUGAACAAAAACAUCAGCAAAGUUACGACGCUCAAAGUUCAAUGCAACCGGAGAUAUUUUCUUUCAAAGAAAUCACUUUUUAAGGACUACAACAAAUGGCUAGUAGGGACUACAAUGAGCUUCUUCCCGGGUUAGUUACAUCACUAACCCUUAAAUUUACAUAAACCCUGCCCCCGAGAACACGCAACAAAGGGGGUGAGGCCAUGUUAUUGCAAUACAGUACAUAACAAAUGCAAUAGCAUGUCAUAAAAGCCAGAUGACAACAUAAGAACCGUAAUUAAACUAAACUAUUCCUGUUUUACCUUCAUGCAGCAUAUAUUCUCUGGUUCUGUAGGAUCUUACAACAGUUCCCACACGAGCGAUUUAUAGAUUAUCAUGACAGAAUAUGAUAAUCAAUGACUUUAAGAUAGUUAACUCCACAUCAGCUACAUAAAUUCAUCAACUAACCAUUCAGAAACCUGUUGUAUUCUACAUAUUGUUGCUCCUUCUUGAGUCUCUCCAUCAUUGUCUGACUCUGGUUUGAACAUACAGGUGCUGGUCAUAUAAUAUCAUCAAAAAGUUGAUUUAUUUCACUAAUUCCAUUCAAAAAGUGAAACUUGUAUAUUAUAUUCAUUCAUUACACACAGACUGAUAUAUUUCAAA